GGUUAAGUUAGAAAGGGCGCACGGUGGAUGCCUUGGCACUAGGAGCCGAUGAAGGACGGGACGAACACCGAUAUGCUUCGGGGAGCUGUAAGCAAGCUUUGAUCCGGAGAUUUCCGAAUGGGGAAACCCACCACUCGUAAUGGAGUGGUAUCCAUAUCUGAAUACAUAGGAUAUGAGAAGGCAGACCCGGGGAACUGAAACAUCUAAGUACCCGGAGGAAGAGAAAGCAAAUGCGAUUCCCUGAGUAGCGGCGAGCGAAACGGGACCAGCCCAAACCAAGAGGCUUGCCUCUUGGGGUUGUAGGACACUCUGUACGGAGUUACAAAGGAACGAGGUAGAUGAAGAGGUCUGGAAAGGCCCGCCAUAGGAGGUAACAGCCCUGUAGUCAAAACUUCGUUCUCUCCUGAGUGGAUCCUGAGUACGGCGGAACACGUGAAAUUCCGUCGGAAUCCGGGAGGACCAUCUCCCAAGGCUAAAUACUCCCUAGUGACCGAUAGUGAACCAGUACCGUGAGGGAAAGGUGAAAAGCACCCCGGAAGGGGAGUGAAAGAGAUCCUGAAACCGUGUGCCUACAAGUAGUCAGAGCCCGUUAACGGGUGAUGGCGUGCCUUUUGUAGAAUGAACCGGCGAGUUACGAUCCCGUGCAAGGUUAAGCAGAAGAUGCGGAGCCGCAGCGAAAGCGAGUCUGAAUAGGGCGAAUUGAGUACGUGGUCGUAGACCCGAAACCAGGUGAUCUACCCAUGUCCAGGGUGAAGUUCAGGUAACACUGAAUGGAGGCCCGAACCCACGCACGUUGAAAAGUGCGGGGAUGAGGUGUGGGUAGGGGUGAAAUGCCAAUCGAACCUGGAGAUAGCUGGUUCUCUCCGAAAUAGCUUUAGGGCUAGCCUCAAGGUAAGAGUCUCGGAGGUAGAGCACUGAUUGGACUAGGGGCCCCUACCGGGUUACCGAAUUCAGUCAAACUCCGAAUGCCGAUGACUUAUCCUUGGGAGUCAGACAGACUGCGAGUGAUAAGAUCCGUAGUCGAAAGGGAAACAGCCCAGACCGCCAGCUAAGGUCCCAAAGUAUACGUUAAGUGGAAAAGGAUGUGGAGUUGCUUAGACAACCAGGAUGUUGGCUUAGAAGCAGCCACCAUUUAAAGAGUGCGUAAUAGCUCACUGGUCGAGUGACUCUGCGCCGAAAAUGUACCGGGGCUAAACGUAUCACCGAAGCUGCGGACUGUUCUUCGAACAGUGGUAGGAGAGCGUUCUAAGGGCUGUGAAGCAAGACCGGAAGGACUUGUGGAGCGCUUAGAAGUGAGAAUGCCGGUAUGAGUAGCGAAAGAGGGGUGAGAAUCCCCUCCACCGAAUGCCUAAGGUUUCCUGAGGAAGGCUCGUCCGCUCAGGGUUAGUCGGGACCUAAGCCGAGGCCGAAAGGCGUAGGCGAUGGAUAACAGGUUGAUAUUCCUGUACCACCUCCUCACCAUUUGAGCAAUGGGGGGACGCAGGAGGAUAGGGUAAGCGCGGUAUUGGAUAUCCGCGUCCAAGCAGUUAGGCUGGGAAAUAGGCAAAUCCGUUUCCCGUGAAGGCUGAGCUGUGAUGGCGAGCGAAUUAUAGUAGCGAAGUUCCUGAUUCCACACUGCCAAGAAAAGCCUCUAGCGAGGUGAGAGGUGCCCGUACCGCAAACCGACACAGGUAGGCGAGGAGAGAAUCCUAAGGUGAUCGAGAGAACUCUCGUUAAGGAACUCGGCAAAAUGACCCCGUAACUUCGGGAGAAGGGGUGCUCUGUUAGGGUGCAAGCCCGAGAGAGCCGCAGUGAAUAGGCCCAGGCGACUGUUUAGCAAAAACACAGGUCUCUGCGAAGCCGUAAGGCGAAGUAUAGGGGCUGACGCCUGCCCGGUGCUGGAAGGUUAAGAGGAGCGCUUAGCGUAAGCGAAGGUGCGAAUUGAAGCCCCAGUAAACGGCGGCCGUAACUAUAACGGUCCUAAGGUAGCGAAAUUCCUUGUCGGGUAAGUUCCGACCCGCACGAAAGGCGCAACGAUCUGGGCACUGUCUCAACGAGAGACUCGGUGAAAUUAUAGUACCUGUGAAGAUGCAGGUUACCCGCGACAGGACGGAAAGACCCCGUGGAGCUUUACUGCAGCCUGAUAUUGAAUGUUGGUACAGCUUGUACAGGAUAGGUAGGAGUCUUGGAAACCGGAGCGCCAGCUUCGGUGGAGGCAUCGGUGGGAUACUACCCUGGCUGUAUUGACCUUCUAACCCGCCGCCCUUAUCGGGCGGGGAGACAGUGUCAGGUGGGCAGUUUGACUGGGGCGGUCGCCUCCUAAAAGGUAACGGAGGCGCCCAAAGGUUCCCUCAGAAUGGUUGGAAAUCAUUCGCAGAGUGUAAAGGCACAAGGGAGCUUGACUGCGAGACCUACAAGUCGAGCAGGGACGAAAGUCGGGCUUAGUGAUCCGGUGGUUCCGCAUGGAAGGGCCAUCGCUCAACGGAUAAAAGCUACCCCGGGGAUAACAGGCUUAUCUCCCCCAAGAGUCCACAUCGACGGGGAGGUUUGGCACCUCGAUGUCGGCUCAUCGCAUCCUGGGGCUGUAGUCGGUCCCAAGGGUUGGGCUGUUCGCCCAUUAAAGCGGUACGCGAGCUGGGUUCAGAACGUCGUGAGACAGUUCGGUCCCUAUCCGUCGCGGGCGCAGGAAAUUUGAGAGGAGCUGUCCUUAGUACGAGAGGACCGGGAUGGACGCACCGCUGGUGUACCAGUUGUUCUGCCAAGGGCAUCGCUGGGUAGCUAUGUGCGGACGGGAUAAGUGCUGAAAGCAUCUAAGCAUGAAGCCCCCCUCAAGAUGAGAUUUCCCAUUCCGCAAGGAAGUAAGAUCCCUGAAAGAUGAUCAGGUUGAUAGGUCUGAGGUGGAAGUGUGGCGACACAUGGAGCUGACAGAUACUAAUCGAUCGAGGACUUAACCAA
rnacentral:rRNA from 1 species